rnacentral:rRNA from 1 species
GUGGGGAAUAUUGGACAAUGGGGGGAACCCUGAUCCAGCCAUGCCACGUGUGUGAAGAAGGCCUUUUGGUUGUAAAUCACUUUAAGCGAGGAGGAGGCUACCGAGAUUAAUACUCUUGGAUAGUGGACGUUACUCGCAGAAUAAGCACCGGCUAACUCUGUGCCAGCAGCCGCGGUAAUACAGAGGGUGCAAGCGUUAAUCGGAUUUACUGGGCGUAAAGCGCGCGUAGGUGGCCAAGUAAGUCAAAUGUGAAAUCCCCGAGCUUAACUUGGGAAUUGCAUUCGAUACUGGUUGGCUAGAGUAUGGGAGAGGAUGGUAGAAUUCCAGGUGUAGCGGUGAAAUGCGUAGAGAUCUGGAGGAAUACCGAUGGCGAAGGCAGCCAUCUGGCCUAAUACUGACACUGAGGUGCGAAAGCAUGGGGAGCAAACAGGAUUAGAAACCCCGGUAGUCC